rnacentral:rRNA from 1 species
AACGCUGGCGGCGUGCCUAACACAUGCAAGUCGAACGAAGCACUGCAGACGGAGAUUCGUCGAAGCCUGCUUUGACUGAGUGGCGGACGGGUGAGUAACGCGUGGGUAACCUGCCUUGUACAGGGGGAUAACAGUUGGAAACGGCUGCUAAUACCGCAUAAGCGCACGGUAUCGCAUGAUGCAGUGUGAAAAACUCUGGUGGUAUAAGAUGGACCCGCGUUGGAUUAGCUAGUUGGUGAGGUAACGGCCCACCAAGGCGACGAUCCAUAGCCGACCUGAGAGGGUGACCGGCCACAUUGGGACUGAGACACGGCCCAAACUCCUACGGGAGGCAGCAGUGAGGAAUAUUGGUCAAUGGGCGGAAGCCUGAACCAGCCAAGUAGCGUGAGGGAUGACUGCCCUAUGGGUUGUAAACCUCUUUUAUAAGGGAAUAAAAUACGGGACGUGUCCUGUUUUGCAUGUACCUUAUGAAUAAGGACCGGCUAAUUCCGUG